UAAACCUUAAUUUAAAAUAAUAUUUUAUUACAUAAGAUAUCCUUGUCAAAUGUAACCUAAUUUGUUGUUACCUUUAUUGUGUAACUUUUUUAUUCACAUGUAGAACAUGCUUAAAGUUAGUUUUCCAGUCUUGUUUGAUUAUAUAAUCAUAUAUUCUUAUAUCAAAAGAAAAUCUAUUACAUUUGUUCUGUUUUUGCUGUUUAUGUUAAUUGUUAAGAUACAGCAAUGUUUCCCUAAGCCUGUAUGAAAUUUUUAUUUCUGCAUAAUAAUGAUUAAUAAUAAUUGUUAUUGAUAACAAUCCCAUAAUAAUACAAAUAAAAUAGCAGGGACGGAACAAUAACACCUAUUACCAUCAGUAACUUGAUAACCCUACCUGAUAGCCUUUCUAAUGUUGGCACAUUGGUACAUCUGCACAAAGAUGUCGGACAGCUGCUUGAAGAUCUUCCUUUGGAGAAAUUUUACACUCGAAAAAUACAAAACCCCAUGUUCUGCUGCAUGCUGGACUUCUGGACUUCACUUGUUUUUGCCAUCACAUCCCAUCAGUGCUGCAGUCAGACUGGAACAGAGUUGUGAGGUGAGGCUGUCCAUGCCUGAGAAACCGAUUCAUACUGAAGAUGAAGAGACCACACCAGCAUCUGGCUCAGAUGAGGACACGCAGGCAGGUGGAGGGAUGCAGGGUCUUGUCCAUGGCACUACAGCAUCUUCAACAUUUACUUCAUCAGCACACUGCUGUUCUUCAUCAUCAUCACUGCACACACCAGUCUGAGGACAUUUCAGAUUAUGCAAAGCUCUUAAUAAAGAAGUCAUUUAACAGCA